rnacentral:rRNA from 1 species
UCUUUCUUUCAACAUCUUUAUUCUUGUGAUACUAAUGUUGACCCAUCACGUAUUAUUUCCAUCGUGAAACCUCUCGUCACUGAUGAUAUGAAUGCGGAGCUAUGUAAACCGUUUUAUGAGGAGGAGAUUAGUGAUGCUCUUUUCCAGAUAAGUCCGUUAAAAGCCCCAGGUCCGGAUGGAUUUCCUGCAAGAUUUUUUCAGAGGAAUUGGGGUUUAAUCAAGGAGGACAUUGUAAGGGCGGUUCAGCAAUUCUUUAUCUCAGGUGUUAUGCCUGAAGGUGUAAAUGACACUACCAUUGUCCUUAUUCCAAAAGUGAAGAAUCCUCAGUCCAUCAAGGAGUUUAGACCGAUCAGCCUGUGUAAUGUCAUUUAUAAAAUUAUCUCGAAGUGCCUGGUAAAUAGACUGAGACCUCUUUUGGAUGGUAUGCUCUCUCCCACUCAGAGUGCCUUUAUUCCUGGAAGAUUAAUUUCUCAUAACGUGCUUAUUACCUUCGAAUGUAUUCAUUCGUUGAGUACAUUAAAAGAUCAACGUUGAGAGUUUUGUGCAUAUAAGUUGGAUCUGGCAAAAGCGUAUGAUCGUGUAGAUUGGCAAUUUUUAAAGAGUAUGUUGGGGGCUUUUGGCUUUGCACCAUCUUGGAUUAACUGGAUCAUGACGUGUGUUACAUCAGUGAAAUUCUCGGCCCGGUUGAAUGGACAACUGUUGGAACCUUUUUAUCCUUCGUGUGGGCUCAGGCAAGGGGAUCCCUUAUCGCCGUAUUUGUUCCUAUUUGUUGCUGAGUCCCUUUCCUUGUUGUUAAAGGAUGCUUGUGACAAAGGUGCUCUAAAAGAAUUUAACUUGAACAAACAUGCGCCAGGUAUCUCUCAUCUUUUAUUUGCGGAUGAUAGUCUCCUAUUUUUCAAAGGGUCCAUAGAUCAAGCUUUAGUCAUUAAAAAUAUUCUGUCGGGCUAUGAGGUGGGAACGGGUCAACUUCUGAGCCCCGAUAAAUGUUCAAUCAAGUUUGGCAAGAAGUGUAGUAUGAAGGAUCAAGUGGCCACUAUGGUUAUUCUUAAUAUUACUGCAGAAGGUUUUGAACAUAAGUACCUUGGCUUACCGGUACCUGAUGGCAGAAUGAAGGUGGGAAAGUUCCAAUCAACAAAAGAUAAGGCAUUAAAAAGAGCAUCAGAUUGGAUUGAAAAAUAUGUUUCAAGUGGUAUAAAAGAAAAUCAAAUCAAGGCAGUGUUGCAAGCGCUCCCAGUGUACGCCAUGGGUAUCUUUAAAUUUCCAGUUUCCUUAUGUGAUUUGUUGGCUCAGAUUAUAAGAAAUUUCUGGUGGGGAGACGAAGAAGACAGAAGGAAAACACAUUGGCUAGCUUGGGAUAAACUCACUAAACCAAAAAGAGAGGGAUGCAUAGGUGUAGGAGCUUUCCAGGUAGCUAAUAGCGUACUGCCACUGGUCAUGAGAACAACCUUUCCACUACCUGCCAAGCCGUAG